UUAAUUUAAUGUGAGAAUAACUAAUAUUUGAAACUCCUUUUCAAAUGACUAAAUGAAUGGUACGUUAUUAAGAAGAAUCUUUAAGAAGUAAUUCUUUUUAUGCAGAGUCCUUGUAUUUUUUCUUCUAAAUUUUAAAGAAUAUCACAAGUUGUGAACAAGAAUUCGUGGUGCCUUGGCCCUCGUUCUCUCAUCUCCAUGCCAGAUGGCCUUUAAGAAGGAUCAUAAAUAGUUUAUCUGUUUGCUAUCUUGGACGGCAACUCGUGUCCUUAAAAGUAAUCACGACAGGCACAUUGCGAUACAGGAUUGUGGAGACAAACAUUGUGAUUCCAGCUAUUAUCCUUAGCUUCUGAGCACUGAGAAAAGAUUGUUGCUGAUGUAGAGUUUUGUAUCGUUGGACCCCACAGUCCAAGACAGAAAUAAAUAGGACAAAAACUUCCAUCUGCAUCACUAACAAAAGAAAAGGCACAUUUUUAGAUUGGCUUAAUUGAUCUACUUUUUUUCUGUCUGGGGUCACAAGUGUCAUGAAGCUGGCCACACCUCGAAAGGCUGCCUGAAUCUAUUCAGUGAAUUGACAGAAAGUUGGAAAGCAGCAUCAGCAAUACAUUCCGGAAGCUGUGACAUGCAUUGAAAAGGAACUGUUUAAGGGCAUGGCGGCGGAGUGAAUGUUUCCCCAAGAAAACAUUGUUAACAUUCACCACCACCAGAAACUUUAAUUUGAGAAUACCUAAUAUUUGAAACUCCUUUUCAAAUUACUAAAUGAAUGCUAC